CACUUUAACUUCAAUUUUAGCUUCAUUCCAAAACCUUUCCACCAGAACUCAACCUCCCUUCAUCUCUCUCCAUGAAACCUCCCCUUUCACCACCGCCGCGUUGCUCGCUGUUUUCCUUUUCUUAAUAUUAGUUGCAGGUGGACCAUAAAGCCUCUGGAAAGAAAUCUGGUUGAGAUUCAAACUACAUUCAUGAUGACGAAUAAGCUUUGAGACAGGUUUUGUUCAUCAAGUUUAAAAGAGUUCAAAUAAAUGACACAAAUUUGGAAGUCAAAUGAUAUCUGAAAUUGAACUAUUUUCACACCAUUAAACACAAAGGUUUUCUUGCAUCAAGCUUCAUGUAGAACAAACGAGGCAUUUUUCAUUUAUUUGGAAAAGAAAGUUCAAAUAUGAUUUUGCUUAUAACCAGCAAAAUAAAUACACAGAUUGUUAUCAGGUUGUUAAAUCUUAGUGUCAUAGCUGCAACAACAUUACUUAAAGCUUAGCAGAGGAACACAAACACAUACACACAUCUAUAAAGAAGAGAAAUUAAAGAAAGCCUAAUGAGUGGCAUGUGAAGCAACUGUCAAAAGGUUUCAGUUGUUCUACUUCCUAGAAAGAGCAGUUUUAAUUACAUCUAGCUCCCUGGUGACAUCUUUCAUAUUUAUUCUCUCUCUUGGAGACUCCACAGAACAAGCAAGUCCAAUGUUAAAAAGUUCAUGUAAGCACUUCUUCAAAUCAUCAGGAUGCAACUGGCUCAGGUUCUGAUCUCUAAUAAUUUUUUCUGCUUCUGUUGUUGAUAAUGAUACAGUUGUUUGUUUCAGUUCUCUUGGGAGUAGAGUCAAGUCUACAAUAUCUAACACUUUAUCUGGUAGUGAAACCUUCACAUAAGAGUACAGAUUCACACCAUUGGUAAACAUUUCAUCUGUUGGUUUUCUUCCAGUUAGUAUUUCCAGUAAAAAGAUUCCGAAGCUAUACACAUCACCCUGUGUUGAAACUUGACAUCCAACUCCAUACUCUGAAAAUUAUGUACUUUAGGAUUUAAGCAUACAAAAAACUAAACAUGUUGCUUAUAACUUAUAAGGCAUACAAUAAAAUUUAAAUACGUUUUUGUUCCGACCUCAAGUCCACUGUACUUCUUUUACGAGGUAUUGUGCACUUUAGGUCUUGUACAAACUCUCAUGGUUAUGUCCUUAGUUAAAAGGCUCCUUAGUGAGUUGAGGAGAGUGAGUGUUUAUAAACUACACUUAGACUCGAUUGGACUCGAUUCGCCAGAAAUGUGAGACUUUUUGGUUUACCAGACUAAUUUAAAAACAUAAAUUAAAUGGUAUCGAACUAUACCUGGAGGGGCAUAUCCAAUUGUUCCAUUGAAUCCAAUUGUGCUAGUUUGUAGAUCAGAGAUACCAUUGAUGGCACAUAGAAGUCUUGCUUGUCCAAAAUCACUCACAUGAGCAACCAUGUCAUUAUCAAGAAGGAUAUUGCUUGGCUUUAAAUCACAGUGAAUGAUCGGCUGCUCAGUUUCAUAGUGUAGAUAGUGUACUGCAGAAGCAACAUCUGUUAGAAUAUUUAGUCUUUGAAGAAGAUUCAAAUUUGGUUGAUCUUCGAUUUCGGACCCGGGAAGCAGCCUUUUAUCCAAGCUUCCAUGUUCCAUGUAUUCAAAAACUAAAGCUUUGAAUUCGUUACCACUGUAAUCCAUACUCGAGCAACAUGUUAGAUUCUUGACAAGAUUCCUAUGACGAAUACUUUUGAGUGCAUUACAUUCAGCGAUGAAACUCUUGUGCGCUCCCUUGACUUGAAGGUUCAAGACCUUUAUAGCAACAACUCUUUCUUCUGACUCAAGAAUUCCUUUAUAUACAGUUCCAAAACCACCAGAUCCUAUCAAGUUGUUGGAAGAGAAUCCACUUGUUGCUUGAUAAAGAGUUUUGUAUGAGACCUUUGAAAGGUGAUCGAUUGUUGAUGGAAAAUUGGAAGUUCUCCAGUGUGUUUUUUUAUUCCAAAAGAAUGCAAUAGAGAAAGAUGACAAAAGAAGAAAAACAACCACACAAAUUGCUAUUACUAUUAUCUUCCAAUCCUUUUGGUCUUUUUGUGCCUUAUCAUUGACAACACAUGGUUGUAGAUGUAACCCUGUAAUACCACCACAAAGAUCACUAUUGUUUUUCACAGAUAUUGCACUUUCAUUUCUAAACACACCUUCUGUUGGUACUUCACCAUCUAACCUGUUAAAAGAAAUGUUCAAGUACUGUAGAGCAGGAAGACUGUCUAGACCUUUUGGAAUUAACCCUGACAAGUUGUUCAGUGACAAAUCCAAAUAUUGAAGGCCUUUCAAUGAAGCCAAAGAUGAUGGCAUGGCUCCUUGAAAAAAAUUCCCUCGUAAGUUAAGAUACUCCAAACUUAUGCACUGUCCUAUUAUUGCAGGAAUUUCACCAGACAGAAAGUUUUUAGAAGCAUCCAACUUAUUGAUGCUUUUCAGGUUGCCAAUUUCAAAGGGUAGGCUUCCACUGAAUGAAUUAUGGGAAAAAUUGAGUAACAACGACAAUGAGGGAAGACCAAUGACUUGCCGAGGAAUGGUUCCACUAAGGUGGUUAUUCGAUAUGUCCAAGUAUUGUAACAUUUGGCAAUUUCCAAUACUAGGAGGAAUGCCUCCUUCUAGCCUAUUGUUUGACAGGUCAAGUUGAAAUAACUGAGUGAGGUUGCCAAUUGAUGAUGGAAUCUUUCCUGAAAGUUUGUUUACAUUCAAUGUCAAUGAUUGUAUCUUUUCAAAAUUUCCAAAAGAAGUUGGAAUGGAGCCUGAGAGAAGGUUGAACUCCAAGUCAAGGCCAAUCAAGUUGAUGAGAUUUCCUAAUCCGGAAGGAAUAGUACCGAUAAUCUGAUUUCCACCGAUGUAAAACUGAUUUAGUUGACCUGAAAAGUUAGCUAUAGAGUUUGGUAAAGAGCCACCAAAGUUGUUUAGAUUCAAAUCCAACACUUGUAAAUUUGUGCAAUUUGUCAAAGAUGUCAAGAAAUCCAAAUCCUUGGAUGAAUUACUCCCUAGAUGAUUAUAUUCCAUAGCAAUGGACCAGAUGUCUUUGAGGUUUCCUAUUCCAGUUGGAGCUUGUCCCACAAAGUUAUUCCUAGGGAUGUUAAAUAACAUCAAUCGUGUCGCAUUCGAUAUCGAAAUCGGGAUAAGGCCCGAGAUCUUAUUCAUACCAAUGCCAAAUUGUUGGAGAUUAGGGAGUGUGAGAAACAUGUUGGCAGGUAAAGUGCCAUUAAAUUGGUUGACACCAGCUGAGAAGAAAGUGAGAGAUGACAUAUUAAAUAAUGUAAGAGGAAGCAUACCAUAUAGUUUGUUUGAUGCAAUAGAGAUAUGUGUCAAGCUUUUCAGAUAGCCUAUCUCUUCAGGUAAAUUUCCCUCCAAAUUAUUGAUUCCUAAAGUGAGAACUCUAAGAGAUGAAAGAUUUCCUAUAGAUGCAGGAAUUUCACCACUCAAAUUGUUCAUGCCAAUAGACAAAAUUUCUAGGUUAGUUAGAUAACCAAGCUCCUUUGGUAUCUUUCCAACUAGUUUGUUUCCUGUUAAACUCAAUCUUUCGAGGUUAAGUUCGUUGGAAUUCGACCCUUGAACGUGUUAUUGGUCAGAUACAGCUCCUGCAGCCUGAACAAAUGGCCAAUUUCUUGUGGGAUUUCACCAUAGAAGCUGUUGUUUUGAAGGUUAACAUAUCUGAGAAAGGUGAGGUUUCCAAUUUCAGGUGGUAUGAAUCCAAGUAAGGCAUACCCUUGUAGGUUCAAAGAAGUGACCCUUUGAUGCUUAAGGCUGCAUGUGACUCCAUGCCAGUUGCAAAAGUAAGUUGAAGUGUUCCAUGAUUUCAAGAUAUCAAAAGGGUCCUCUAGUAUUGUUUCUUUGAAUCUUAGUAAUGACAAUUGGUCUGUGUCAUUUCCUAAGGCACUAGCAGUAUUCUUAUGUUGGAGACAUAGCAGUGUUAGUGUAGCAGUAAAGAGAAGGAAAACAUGAAAGCAUGUUAAACAUAUCAGAUUCAUUUUUUGAAGAGAAUUGGAAGGAAAUGGAAAAUGUGUAUGGUGCUGCAAACUUUGCAAUACAAAUGGAUCUAUAUAUAAAAAUGAUUUGUGAAUUGAAGAUAAUGGUGUGUGUGUGUGUGUGAACAUUGAUACAUUUGAGUUGAAGUUUGGGUUAUGUAAGUUAUUAUUAUUUGAUUAAUAUAUGUUUUCGCCUUCUUAUGACUUUGAAAUUUCAUUGUAAGGAUAGGUUUUGAAAAAGAUAGUGUCACUAUUGAUGUACUCUUUCCAUGCUAGAAAAGAUGAGUGUGAGAGUUGACUCUUCUUUAAAA